rnacentral:rRNA from 1 species
UACGUAGGGUGCAAGCGUUGUCCGGAAUUAUUGGGCGUAAAGAGCUCGUAGGCGGUCUGUCGCGUCUGCUGUGAAAACUCGGGGCUUAACCCCGGGCCUGCAGUGGGUACGGGCAGACUAGAGUGCGGUAGGGGAGACUGGAAUUCCUGGUGUAGCGGUGAAAUGCGUAGAGAUCCGGAGGAACACCAGUGGCGAAGGCGACACGCUGGGCCGUACCUGACACUGAGGCGCGAUAGCAUGGGGAGCAAACAGG